AAAAAAAAAAAACAACUGAUAAAAAAUGGCAGAUAUGCAGACUUGCUGCUGUUGACACUUUGCUCUGUAUCUCAUUCUAAUUUCCUGCCACCAACUCCCAAACUGAUCUAUAUCUCGGCAAUUCCCUGUGACAGUCUGUUCACAGUACCAUCUACUGUUUUAAAGAUAAAGUCAUUAUUGUUACAUCCUGAAUAACAGCAACAAAUGACCUUUACACACUUACUAAAACAAUGACUUAAUGAUUACUGAUACAUUUUUCAAUCAGGACUACAGCAAACAACCCUGAUGCACAUUAUAAAAAUAGUAAAAUUAAUUCAAAGGUUUGCAGAUUUUUCCCUUUCCCCUUCUUCCCUUCCUAUUCCAGAGAUACUUCAGCUUUACUGCUAGACUGGCUGCUUUGUUAAUGUCAUCAGAUAAGGCAAAGAGCAGACACAAGCACAUUGUUGUUUAACAUACCACCUGAAUCAGGAAUACAGUAGUCCAGAAUAUUUUGAAACAUUUCAGGGCUUUUUCCAGCCAAUCACCUCACCCAAACAAUAAUCCUUUCCUCCCAUUUCUGAGUGCCUGGGAGCAGUUGCCUUUUCAGAUUUGGAGGGGACUUGGGUAGCAUAAGAUAAAUUAGAUUCUUAGUUUCGUAUAUUUGGCUUCUUUUUCCCUCUUGUCAGUAUUCCACUUAAGCUGUUUGAUAUUGUGUACCUUUCUUCCCUUCUCACCAAAGGGCUGACCUCAGGAGACAGAAAAGAGCAGGCUUUGUUGUAGCUAAUUAGAGAGGGUAGAUACCUGGGACACUGGCUGGCUACCAGCAUCACAGUAACUCUUGAAGAUCUUUGCAUUUAACAAACAUUUGCCAAACAUUUUAUUAUGUGCAGGGCUCUGUACUAAGUUCACUGUUUUUUUGUUGUUGUAGGUUAUUUUUGUUUGUUUUUCGUUUGUUUUUUCCUUCUUGAGAAUAUGUCUAACAGCUUGAGGUCUUUACAUUAGUAAGUCAUAUAACUUUAAUGAAUCAUAAUCAUAAAUCCUAGAAAACUAUGUACUAGGCCAGUUUAAGCCUGAUAUUUGAUAUUUAAUAUGGGAGCUAAUUUAUUUGUUUCCUUUCUUACAAGAUUAUGUGUAUAUAUAUAAUAUAUAAAUAUAUAUUUAUAUAUUAUAUAUAUUUACAGUACACACACACACCCUCUAUAUCUGCUUACAGUGCUCAUUCUCAAUGUGUUAACCUUCAGUCUUAAUUUACAAAGCAAACUUAUCUCAAAUCAUCAAUAAUAAAAUGUGCUGGUGUUCGGUAAUGUGUAAAUUUAAGUUUUUUCUUUUUCUAUAUAAAAAGAAAAUAAAUUUCAAUUAUGCUUAAAAAAAAAAAAAAAAAGAAUGUGAGUGCUGUAGUUUAUACUUAGCAAAAAACUCACCAGGACUAUUAAUGCAGCCCUAUCUUUCUGUGCCUUUGUUUUCUAUGCACUUAGGACAAUGGCCGAAUAGAUUUAUCAGUAGUGAAGUCAUUACUUGUGGAAAUGUAUUACUAAAACAAAUUACCAUAAAAAAUUAAAUUCAUUUAAGGAACACUUGAAUAUUUCAAUUAAGAAUUGAGAUAUUUCUUGCAAAAUCAGUGUAGUGUAGUAGAAAAAACAGAUUUCAGAAUUAGGAGACUUGGGUUCAUGUUGUGAUUCUGCCACUUAGUAGUUUGGAUGAUCAAAUAACUUUUUGGAGCCUCCAUUUCUUACUUGUAAAGGUGGGAUUAUAUUACUACCUACUUCAUAGGAUUGUUGUAAGAUUAAACGAAAUAACAUGUCAAAGGACCCAGCAGAAGUGUUGGCACUGAAUAAAAACUCAAUAAAUGUUAGAUCUGAGUACCCAAAAAAAAGAAAAAAUUGUCGUAGAACCUAAGUUUGCAUGGGUUAAAGCCUGAAAGCAAGAGCCAAAAGGUACUCUUCAAAAAGGUGAGAAUGGGCUUCCCUGGUGGUGCAGUGGUUGAGAGUCCGCCUGCCGAUGCAGGGGACACGGGUUCGUUCCCUGGUCUGGGAAGAUCCCACAUGCCGCGGAGCGGCUGGGCCCGUGAGCCAUGGCCGCUGAGCCUGCGCAUCCGGAGCCUGUGCUCCGCAACGGGAGAAGCCGCAAUGGGAGAAGCCACAACAGUGAGAGGCCCGCGUACCGCAAAAAUGAAAAAAAGUGAGAAUAUUCAAAUUUACUUUUUUUUUUUUUCUAUGUGCCUGGGAGGAAAUUGCUUUGGCUUGUUUCCUGGCUCAGGUUUCUAGUGGGGGGUGGGUAAAGAGUAUAGUCCUACUAUGGUGCAGAAAUACAUAAUCACACACAGCAACUUGGUGUGGAGUUGUGUUGUUGGGGUGACAUUUAUUAGGAAAGACAAUAAGGAAUGGUCUCUCGUUGCUCGAUCACAAUUACUGAACUCAAAAUGUGUCUGCUCACAGACUGCUGCUUGCCUUUGACUCCUCAGGGGGUGGAGCAAAUGAUUUCCUUCCUGGAUGGGGCAGUCUAUGGUCAGUGUACAAGAGUUGCUGUAGCAACCCCGCAGCUGUGCUCUGCCUAGCAGAAACUCGACUGAAAGCUCCCUGAGGGCAAGAUUCUUUCUUGCUCACCGCUGUAGCCCAGCACCUAGCAUAAUACCUGCCCCGUGCACAGACAACAGGCACUCAGAAUGAUGCUUUCUUUGAUAUUAUGAUGCUAAGAGGAAGAGGUUUGAGAACCAAGGAAGAACAUGUUGAUGAUGAUGAAAGAUGACCAAGCAUCAAAAAUGGUUUACCCAGGGAAGUUAUUGAGUACCUUGCAGAUCUUUGUGAAGAAGAUUGAAUUGCCCCGUGGUGAUACAGGGCCAGCUUGCUUAGAGUUUAAAUUCUAUUCUAGCAUUUGCUAGAAUAAAAAUCAUUGUUUUAUUUUGGUACCCAUCACAUUACCAAAUUUUAGGGGUUUUAAAAAUGUUCAGAACUGUGCUGAUUUAUGUGUUUUGAUAGAUGGGCUUUAUCCAUUUACAUUUAUUAUAGUUACUGAUAUAUUUGAACUUAUUUCGACCAUACUUCUUUUUGUUUCCUUUUUUCUCUUUUCCUGCCUUCUAUUGGAUUUAAAAGACCCAUUUCCUAUCCCUCACCCCUGCUUGUUUGGGAAGCUCUGUGUUGUAUUUCCAUUCUCUUGCUAGUCACUUUGAAGUUUUUGACAUGCAUUAUACAUUUCCCUAUAAGACUCUAAAGUUAUUCAUUAUUUCUUUUCUAAACAUUCUUGCUUUAACCCCAUUGAAGCCCACUUUACCUAUUAAACACCCUCAAACCCUACUCAAGCUAAUCUUACCAUCUUUUCCUUAGAGCUUAGAUUGUACCACUUUUUAAACCCACUUUUUAAAAGGGGGGGUUUUGGUUUGUUUGUUUAUAGUCGAUAGUUAAUUAAAUGUUUUUAUUUUAUUUUAUUUUAUUUAUUUAUUUAUUUAUUUUUGCGGUACGCGGGCCUCUCCCUGUUGUGGCCUCUCCCGUUGCAGAGCACAGGCUCCGGACGCACAGGCUCAGCGGCCAUGGCUCAUGGGCCUAGCCACUCCGGCGGCAUGUGGGAUCUUCCCGGACCGGGGCACGCACCCGUGUCCCCUGCAUCGGCAGGAGGACUCUCAACCACUGAGCCACCAGGGAAGUCCUGUAUUUAUUUUUUAAAAGACACUAUUGAAACAGUUCUUGAGAAUCUCUUUUCUGAGACGUUAAAUGAGGGCCCAGUGCCUGUCUCACGCAGAGUAGGUGCUCAAUAAAUGGAACCCAUCUUUCCCCCUCCCAAAAUAAACUGUUGUGGACCUAGAGCCUGUCAUACAGAGUGAAGUAAGUCAGAAAGAGAAAAACUAAUACCGUAUGCUAACACAUAUAUAUGGAAUCUAAAAAAAAAAAAAAAUGGUUAUGAAGAACCUAGGGGCAAAAUGGGAAUAAAGACACAGACCUACUAGAGAAUGGACUUGAGGACACAGGGAGGAGGAAGGGUAAGCUGGGACAAAG